rnacentral:tRNA from 1 species
AAAAAAUUAGUUAAACCCCCAUAACAUUAGCUUGUCAAACUAAAAUUAUCUAAGGAUAUUUUUUUA